UACAGAGGUCUCGAGCGUUGUUCGGAUUCAUUGGGCGUAAAGGGUGUGUAGGUGGCGCGCUAAGUCGGGUGUGAAAUUUCGGAGCUUAACUCCGAAACUGCAUUCGAUACUGGCGUGCUUGAGGACUGGAGAGGAGACUGGAAUUCAUGGUGUAGCAGUGAAAUGCGUAGAGAUCGGGAGGAACACCAGAGGCGAAGGCGGCGACCUGGACAGUUACUGACACUCAACUACGAAAGCGUGGGGAGCAAACAGG
rnacentral:rRNA from 1 species